rnacentral:lncRNA from 1 species
AGGCAAUCCUCCCCUUGAGCUAGCUUUUGAGGUGAGUUAGGCCUGACUCAAAUUUAACUAUAUAUAUAUAUAUAAGUAAAGAGAAGAGAGAGACAGAGAGAGGAUGAUUACAAUAAGGAGGACAAGCUAUACUUAGGUAACAGGAAUAGAAAAUAAAAGAAAAAUUAAUAAAGCCAUCCAGUCAUGUUGGAAGCUUGCAAAAAGCAAGGCCUUUCAAAGGCCCAAAAGUAUAAACAUUUAAGAAGCUAAAGGUACAUUUUUAUCCCACAAUUACCAUUACAUAAAAGAAUUAUCCUUAAUCUUUGCAUUUCACACCAACCAAAUACACAAUCCCCAUGCACAUAGCAGAACAAACUAUAAACAAUGUGCCUUCCGUCGUCCAAAUCCUCUAAAUUGUGUUUAUAAAGCAUCUCCAAAAAUUGCUGGCCCAAUGCAAUACUCAGAAAAAUCAAAAGGAUAAUUCUAAUAUACCAAAAUGUAAAACUACAUUGAGAACUAUAAUAAACCUAAUAUUCUUUGUGAUUCUGUAAUUAUCUUAUACAAGUAAAGGUUAGUAACACAUGCUUAAUGAGUUGCAAAGAGAGCAAUUUAAGAAAAAAUUAAAUGAAAUCAGGCAGACUCAUUGUGUGAUGAGCAUUUCACGUGCCACCACAAAAGGUGCCAAAAAUAAAGAUGACAUAAGUUAUCUAGGAUUGUUCUUUUACAAUUAAAACAAUAUAUUUGAAGAAUUUUGGGAAAUUUUAGAGUAUUCUUAUACUUCACUCUUAAUCUUUACAAUUGGUUUACAUGAUUAUUUAUACACAAAAAAUUACAACUAAACAAGAAACAAAUAAUCAAAUAAUAAUUACAAAGAUAAUUAAGGAUCCUAAUCAAAUUAUAUCCUUAGAAUCAGCAAAUAAGUCAAAGCUCCCCAACUAGCAAAUCAGAUUAUGAUAGAUCUUAUUGUUGAACCCUUUAGUAAACACAUCUGCAAGUUGCCCAGUAAAAGUCACGUGAACUCAGCUCAAAGACACUGUCUGUUAAAUUUUCUUUAAUGAAGUGCCGAUCAAUUUCAAUGUGGUUCGUUCGGUCAUAUUGGACUGAAUUUUGUGUUAUACUGAUGGUAGCUUUGUUGUCACAAUACAAAACUAUUGUGUUUCUUCACACACACAUUGGGCUAUUGAGCAACAACACUUUAUCUUUUGCUCCUCCAAGUGACAAGAUUCUUAGCCAGAGGUGGAUCUCUUGUCAUCGAGAGAUUCUAUCCAAAAUGCAUAUGUAAAUGUUUCAACUCGGGAGUGACCAUGUUUGAAGUAAAAAAGCCAUUUCCCUAGCGUAGACUUGAAGUAUUUUAAUGCGAAGUACAGCCUGUAUAUGAGUCUCGCGAACCUGUAUAUGAGCCUCGCGAGUGUACUUCCUUUGGGAGAUCAAUUACCUAGAAAAUAUUGCAGUUUUCCUAAAUCUUUGAUUUCAAAGUCUUGAGCCAACAACCUUUUUAGUUGAGUCAUUUUCUCUUUGUCAUCACCUAUCACCAGUAUAUCAUCAACAUACACAAUAAGAAGAGUGAUCUUACCUUGUGAUGUUUAAUAAACAGAGUGUGAUCAACAUUACUCUGUUGAUAACCAAAGGACAUCAUGGUUAUGCUAACCCUAUCAAACCAAGUUAUGAGAGAUUGUUUUAGCCUAUACAAUUUAACCUGCAUGAUUUUCCUUGUGUCUUCUCAUCAACGAACCCAAGAAGGAUCUCCAUGAACACUUUUUCCUCUAAAUCUCCAUGGAGAAAAGCAUUCUCACAUCAAACUGCUGUAAUUUCUAGUCAAAGUUGGCUGCACAAAAUAAUAGGACUAUGAUUGAAUUCAUUUUUGUAAUUGGGGCAAAUAUUUCUUAAUAAUCCACUCCAUAAGUUUGGAUUAAUCCUUUAGCAACCAAUCUGGCCUUAAACCAUUCAAUUGUGCCAUCAGUUUUGUAUUUCACUGUGAACACCUACUUUCAUCCCUUCAAUCAUUGCUCCCUUCUAUUUAGAAUCUACAAGAGCUUCCUUCCAAAGGAAUAGAUACAAAAAAAAUAGACAAGACAAAAGUUCUAUAGGAAGGAGACAAUGACGAAAUAUGGUGUUUAGUACAAGAUCUGACUCCUUUUUUGUGCAAAAGAUUUAUCUAAGUUAUUGGAGUAUUCAAGAGUUGUGGGUAACUCACUAAAAGAAGACUAUUGACUCUGAGUAGACUACAUAAUAGCUUCUUCUGUCUUGCCUCUCCUCGAAUACCUCCUCAAAUCUAUUUUGUCCAAACGUCCAAUUCUCUCUCUCCUCUGAUUGGACAUCUCUCCCUGUCUACUAGAACUCAAACUCUCUAGUUGAACCAUAUCAUUUAGAAUCACAGAAUUCGAGAUCACCUCUUCUUACUCAUUUUUCUGCCCCUGAAGAGGUGAGUGGAUGGUACUGAAAUAAGAUUCAGUUUCUCGAAAGAUAAUAUUCAUACUAAUAAAAUAUUUUCUAGAUGGAGGGUGAUAACACCUAUAUCCUUUCUGUAUUGGAAAAUACCCAACAAAUACACAUUUGAAGGCCUUGGGGUCUAACUUUCCCGCCGUCCUAAUAUGGACAAAGCAAACACACCCAAAUACUUUUGUUUGAACAAUAUAUAAAUUCUUCCCUUCUAGAACCUUUAAAGGACUCAUUAAGUCAAUGACCUUGAGGGGCAUUCCAUUGAUAAGAUAGGCAUAUACAAGGACUGCAUCUCCCUUGUUGAAUCCCACAUCGGUUGUGGAAAGGGGUAAUGUGCCCCUUAUAUGGACCAUAGACACUCCUCCCCCUUAAGCUAGCUUUUGGGGUGAGUUAGGCCUGGCACAAAUUUAACAUCCCCAAAGCAUAUAUGCUUUGGAUAGGUUCAUGGUAAACAUAAGAGAUUGAGCUACCUCCAAUAGAUGCCUAUUUUUUCUUUAAGCAAUGUCAUUUUGAGUACUUGUAUAAAGACAACUGAUCUGGUGUACUGUCCCAUUAUUCUUCUCCAAAUAAGCAAAAAAACUACUAUCCAUGUAUUCUCUUCCAUUGUCAAUUCUAGUAUCAAAUUGAAUACAAAUCAUUUUAUAACAGGAUUGAAAACAAGAAAAAAUUACUUUUAGCCUUAAUCAAAUAAACCCAAAUCAUUCGAGUGCAACAAUCAAUAAAGAGACUGUUUAAGUAAGCCUCCAAAUAUCAGAAUGAAUAAUCACAAUUGAAUCCAACAUCGGUUGUGGAAAGGGGUAAUGUGCCCCUUAUAUGGGCCAUAGGCACUCCUCCCCCUUGAGCUAGCUUUUGGGGCGAGUUAAAUCUGGCCCAAAUUUAACAGACACAAAAGGAAUUUAGCUUUUAUUAUGACUCAAAGGAUAGGAAUUUCUAGUGUGCUUAGCAUACUCAUAAGCAUCACAAAAUAAAGAACUAAACUGAAUUCUAGUAAACAAACUAGGAUAAAGUUUUUUUAAGACAAAAAACGAUGGAUACCCUAUCCAUCUGUGCUACUGUAUUAUUUCCUGAUUGACAUUCUUAUUUUCUCCAAAACAAGCUUGAAAUAUCGGUGUUAUAGGUUAUAGGAAGUAAAUAUGUUAAUAUAGCAAGUAAAUAUUGAUAGAUGGGUUAGUUACUUAAUCUUAGGGAUUGUAUAAUUAUAGGCUUGAUUUCCUUUCCUGUUUAGAUACCGUCUCUCAUGUAUAAAUAGGUUGUAAUCUCUAUUGUGAUAUACAACAAAUAUUAUCUUUCUACAUGGUAUCAGAGCCAUUCUCGUAGAGAUUUUUUCUUUUCUCUCUCGUCAAGUUUUAAAAUUUUUUUUUUUGGACUUAGCUCCGUUCAUUUGGGUUAUCCAUAAAAGGUAAAAUUUGGAUCUCACCAUCGCUGGAGUCGCCACACCGACCCCUUGUCAGAUCUGAGGUUUGUUUGCCAUUCAGGUGUUGGGUGGAGGUGUUUUAUUUGGUACUAUUCACGGUACUAUUCAUCGGCAUUGUUCACGGGUAUUGUUCCCGUAUUUAUGAUGUGUGUAAGGCGUUUUAUCGAGCCCAGAAAAAUGAUAGAACUUUGACAUCCUAUUUUAUGGAUUUUAAAAGAGUUUAUGAAGAACUUAAUGUAUUGAUGUCCUUUAGUAUAGAUGUGAAAACUCAACAAGCUCAACAAGAGCAAAUGGCUGUUAUGAGCUUUCUUGCAAGUCUCCCUCCAAAGUUUGAGAUAGCUAAAUCUCAUAUUCUUUCUGACUCUAAAAUAUCAUCGUUACAUGAUGUGUUCACUAGGGUAUUGCGUACAGAAUCUCCAAUUCCUUCACACCCCACUAGUGCCCUUGUUAGCCGCAAUGACAAUGGCAGACAAAAUAAUAGAGGUGGGCAAAGGGGAGGUUUUCAUGGUGGUAAAAGAUCUCAGCGUUCUGGGAAACAGGUUCUACUUCUGACUUAGGAGGAAUCCUUUGUUACUACUAUUGCGAACCAAGACAUACUAAGAAGAAGACAUGUCACUAAGAAGAAGACAUUUGUUACAAAUGGCGCAUAUGGCAGUUGAGGCCCCUUCAGAUCAGGGGAUUUUGAUAUCUGAAGAUGAGUACGCACAAUUUACCCAAUACCAGGCAUCUCUGAAGUCCUUUAAUUCCUCCUCUAUCACUGCAAUUGCCGAGUCAGGUAACUCUACUGCAUGUCUUGUGUCUUCAUCCUCCACAUGGGUUAUUGAUUCUGGUGCUACCGAUCAUAUGUCAGGUAAUUCUACCCUUUUGUCCAAUCUUGAGUCUCAUGCAUCGACUUCUUAUGUUACUCUUGCUGAAGGUACUAAAUCUUUUGUUAUGGGUUUUGGUCAUGUCAACUUAACCCCUUCUCUUUCUGUAUUCUCUGUGUUAUGUCUCCCUAAAUUCGCAUUUAAUUUGCUUUCUGUUAGUAAACUCACUCGUGCAUUGAAUUGUUGUGUCUCAUUCUUUCCUGAUCAUUGUAUUUUUCAGGAUCUUUCGACGAAGCAAAUUAUUGGUAGACAGCGUGAGUCAGAGGGUCCCUACGUCUUGGAUCAGCAACUAUCUAAAUCACUUGCAUGUUCCACGCGUUUAACACCUUUUGAUGUUCAUUGUCGUUUGGGGCAUCCUUCUCUCUCAACUUUGAAGAAGUUCUAUCCACAGUUUCAUUCUUUGUCUAUUUUAGAUUGUGAGUCUUGUCAAUUUGCCAAACAUCAUCAUUUGCCUUCAGUAUCUCGAGUCAAUAAACGGGCUUCGUCCCCCUUUGAGUUAGUAAGAAGCAAAAUGUGGUCUCCCGUUCUAGUGCUGAAUCUGAAUAUCGAGCCAUGGCACAAGCCGUUUGUGAAGUCUUGUGGGUACGUCAACUAUUAGAAGAAGUUGGGUUCACAAAUUCGGUUUCUGCUAAGUUGUGGUGUGAUAAUCAAGCAGCUAUCCACAUUGCCUCCAAUCCAGUAUUUCACGAGAGGACCAAACACAUCGAGAUUGAUUGUCAUUUUGUUCGUGAAAAGGUCCAACAAAAGAUAAUAUCAACAGGACAUAUCCGAACUGGAGAACAAUUAAGAGAUAUCUUUACUAAAGCUCUAAAUGGAACUCGAGUUGAUUAUAUAUGUAACAAGUUGGGCAUGAUUAACAUUUAUGCUCCAACUUGAGGGGGAGUGUUAUAGUUUAUAGGAAGUAAAUAUGUUAAUAUAGGUAAAUAUUGAUAGAUGGGUUAGUUACUUAAUCUUAGGGAUUGUAUAAUCAUAGGCUUGAUUUUCUUUCUUGUCUCAUGUAUAAAUAGGUUGUAAUCUCUAUUGUGAUAUACAACAAAUAUUAUCUUUCUACAAUCGAAAAACCUGGAUCACCUUCCAGCAUAUAAGCCAUCAUGCAGCCUACCAUUAUUAAUCCUUUUCACAGUGAGAAGAUCCUGAAUAACACAAUGAUCAGGAAAAAAAUUCAAUUUUACAGUUAAAAGCAUUGGUGAUAGCACUAACAGAUAAAAGAUAAAAGGUUGACAGACAAAAUGGAAAACAUAAAGGACAAAUGAUAAUCUUGUUGAAUCCCACAUCGGUUGUGGAAAGGGUAAAGUGCCCUUAUAUGAGCCAUAGGCAAUCCUCCCCCUUGAGCUAGCUUUUGAGUUGAGUUAGGCCUGACCCAAAUUUAAAUAUGUCACGCACCAAUAAAAUUCUGGGCAUGAGGGGGUGUGUUGAAUCCCAUAUCGGUUGUGGAAAGGGGUAAUGUGCCCCUUUAUAUGGGCCUCCCAUAAAAAUGUCACGCACCAUUAAAAUUCUGGGUGUGAGGGGGUGUAUUGAAUUUCACAUCGGUUGUGGAAAGUAUAAUGUGCCCUUAUAUGAGUCGUAGGCAAUCCUCCCCUUGAGCUAGCUUUUGGGGUGAGUUAAGCCUGACACAAAUUUAACAAAUUUAAUAUUGGUGGACAAAUAACAGAACCUAUUCCGGAUAGCACUGACAGAUAAAAGGUUGAUAGAAAAAUGGAAAAUAUGAAGGACAAAUGAUAAUUUAAUAUUUGGUGCACAAAUAACAGAACCUGUUCCGGAUAUAAAAGUAAAACAGCCAUUAGCAAUUCUAACACUAUUUUUUGUUAGAGAAAGAAAAUAAUUGAGAAAACCUUUAAGAGUGUCUGUCAUGUAUCUAUUCGCACCAGAAUCAAUAAUCUAUAGAACAGUAUCAAGAGAGGAAGAGAGGAAACAUUAGCUGACGUUACAAGUUAGAUGUGGCACUCGAGGAUGAAGAGGUGUCAAUAUGAGACAGGAGGCGCUUGAGACUCUAAAUUUCAUUUCAUUAAGGGAAAGAAACUCAGCUGAUGUUGUCUCCUUAAAGGGUUCCUCUAUAGUUUCUGCUAAAUUAGCUUAAAUUUUGGAGGUACCUCAUUUCUCUCAUUUUCCUCCAUGGUCUCUAGUGGGACGACUAUGUAAUUUCUAACAAGUCUCUUUGAUAUGCCUCGGUUUCUCAUAAUAGUCACAAUGCAGGAAAUCUUUCUCAGAAUUAGGAGGUUGCGUUGUGCUCAAACUAGUAGUCAACAUGGGCGUGGGCCUCUUCUAGAGAAGGAAAAUGAUUUUUUUCCCAACACUUGGAUCCGAAUUGGAUCAUAUUCGUUAUUCAAUCCCGAAUCCUGAAAGAAAAUCAUAGACUCGCUCUUUUUCAAUCAUUCUCCAAAAUUUAACUGUAUCUCCAGUACAGUCUACCUGGAAGUUCUGAUAGUAAUCAAGUUCCUCCCAUAAGUCACAUAACGCAUAAUAAAAUUAAGAAAGACAUUUCUCCUUGUUUAGUACCAUGAAUCUUAUUCUGAAUAUCAUAAAUUUAGGCAUCAAUCCCAAUCUUGGAAUAAAUUAAGGACAAAGCCUUCCAUAUUUUUGGAGCAGUAUCAAUUAACAAAUAGAACUUAGAGAUAUGAGAUUGCAUAGAGUUAAGUAAUCAUGUCAUAACAAGACAAUUAUCCAAGUCUCAUUGAGGAAAAUCUGGAUCACUCUCGUCUGGUUGCUUCUUAUUACCAGUGACGUAGCCCUGCAGUCCUCUAGCCUUGAUAAAUAACAAAAAAGACAUUGACCAAACAAGAUAAUUGGUUCCAUCAAGUUUUACGAAACUAAUUUACAAGAAAGGAAUAUCAGAGUCAGUAAUCAAGACCCUUUUAGCUUCUGCCAUGGAGACCCUUUCACCUUCUGACAUGGUAAAGACAUAUGAACCGUGAAAGAAUAGGAGUAUCCAAGGUUGUACACACAAAAGAGCCUAACUGAAUUACCA